CUUGAGAAUGUGACUAGACAGCUAGACCUUGAUGGUCAGGAGACAGGAGGCAAGAAGUCUGAAGAGGAACCUGAGAAGAGCAAAAGUCCUGAGAAAGAACAAGCAUUGAUCACAGGAGAGCAGGAACUAUCUGAGAUGCCACCACAUGCAGACAAACAAACAGAGGAUACACAUAGGGAGGAUCAAAUUGUGACUCAUGUGGAAGAGACGCCUAGUGGCCAGCCAACUGUCCCUCAGGCUGAACUCAAACGAAAACGUGGUGCUCCUGAGCCUACUGUAGAAGAAACACCAGCUAUAGCCCCUCAGGCUCCUCCAACACGUCCUGCUGAUACA